AACGAACGCUGGCGGCAGGCCUAACACAUGCAAGUCGAGCGCCCCAGCGAUGGGGAGCGGCGGACGGGUGAGUAACGCGUGGGAACGUACCCUUUGCUACGGAAUAGCCUCGGGAAACUGGGAGUAAUACCGUAUGUGCCCUUCGGGGGAAAGAUUUAUCGGCAAAGGAUCGGCCCGCGUUGGAUUAGGUAGUUGGUGGGGUAAUGGCCUACCAAGCCGACGAUUCAUAGCUGGUUUGAGAGGAUGAUCAGCCACACUGGGACUGAGACACGGCCCAGACUCCUACGGGAGGCAGCAGUGGGGAAUCUUAGACAAUGGGCGCAAGCCUGAUCUAGCCAUGCCGCGUGAGCGAUGAAGGCCUUAGGGUUGUAAAGCUCUUUCAGGGGGGAAGAUAAUGACUGUACCCCCAGAAGAAGCCCCGGCUAACUCCGUGCCAGCAGCCGCGGUAAUGUCUGUACU
rnacentral:rRNA from 1 species